UGGGGAACCUGCCCCAUAGUCUGGGAUACCACUUGGAAACAGGUGCUAAUACCGGAUAAGAAAGCGGAUCGCAUGAUCAGCUUUUAAAAGGCGGCGUAAGCUGUCGCUAUGGGAUGGCCCCGCGGUGCAUUAGCUAGUUGGUAAGGUAAAGGCUUACCAAGGCUAUGAUGCAUAGCCGAGUUGAGAGACUGAUCGGCCACAUUGGGACUGAGACACGGCCCAAACUCCUACGGGAGGCAGCAGCC
rnacentral:rRNA from 1 species